CGGUGGGACUUGUAGUUCGGUC
rnacentral:miRNA from 1 species